rnacentral:rRNA from 1 species
AGUGAACGCUGGCGGUAGGCCUAACACAUGCAAGUCGAACGGCAGCGCAGUAAGAGCUUGCUCUUACGGGUGGCGAGUGGCGGACGGGUGAGGAAUACAUCGGAAUCUACUUUUUCGUGGGGGAUAACGUAGGGAAACUUACGCUAAUACCGCAUACGACCUACGGGUGAAAGCAGGGGAUCUUCGGACCUUGCGCGAUUGAAUGAGCCGAUGUCGGAUUAGCUAGUUGGCGGGGUAAAGGCCCACCAAGGCAACGAUCCGUAGCUGGUCUGAGAGGAUGAUCAGCCACACUGGAACUGAGACACGGUCCAGACUCCUACGGGAGGCAGCAGUGGGGAAUAUUGGACAAUGGGCGCAAGCCUGAUCCAGCCAUACCGCGUGGGUGAAGAAGGCCUUCGGGUUGUAAAGCCCUUUUGUUGGGAAAGAAAAGCAGCAGGUUAAUACCCCGCUGUUCUGACGGUACCCAAAGAAUAAGCACCGGCUAACUUCGUG